rnacentral:rRNA from 1 species
AAUCAACGCUGGCGGCGUGCCUAACACAUGCAAGUCGAACGCGAGAGUCCCGCAAGGGACAAUUGAGUGGCAAACGGGUGAGUAACACGUGGGUGACCUGCCUUCGAGUGGGGGAUAACGUCCCGAAAGGGACGCUAAUACCGCAUGACAUCCUGCCUUUGGACAGGCGGAGAUCAAAGCCGGGGAUCGCAAGACCUGGCGCUUGAAGAGGGGCCCGCGUCUGAUUAGCUAGNGGUGAGGUAACGGCUCACCAAGGCGACGAUCAGUAUCCGGCCUGAGAGGGCGGACGGACACACUGGGACUGAGACACGGCCCAGACUCCUACGGAGGCAGCAGUGGGGAAUUGUUCGCAAUGGGCGCAAGCCUGACGACGCAACGCCGCGUGGAGGACGAAGACCU